UACGUAGGUGGCAAGCGUUGUCCGGAAUUAUUGGGCGUAAAGCGCGCGCAGGCGGUCCUUUAAGUCUGAUGUGAAAGCCCACGGCUCAACCGUGGCGGGUCAUUGGAAACUGGGGGACUUGAGUGCAGAAGAGGAGAGCGGGAUUCCACGUGUAGCGGUGAAAUGCGUAGAGAUGUGGAGGAACACCAGUGGCGAAGGCGGCUCUCUGGGGUGCAACUGACGCUGAGGUGCGAAAGCGUGGGGAGCGAACCGGA
rnacentral:rRNA from 1 species